rnacentral:tRNA from 1 species
UCCUGAUUAGCUCAGCUGGCAAAGCGCUCCAGUAGAAAUGGAGAGCUGCCUGGUUUAAUACCAGGACCAGGCG